AAUUAAAGUCAUUUACAUUAUGGUAUCAUAUUUUAAUUCAAUUACUAGCUAAUCAAAUCAAAUCAAAAUAAUGUAAAAGGGGAUUAGGUUUACCUCUCGUCGCAUCUUCGUCUCGCCUCUCCAUAUCUACUCAUCUCUCAUCCUUGGAAUCAAGUCCCUUCGGCCUCCAUUUCAAGCUCUCUCUCACGAUCUCCUUCUUCGUUGAGCUUUCGUUUCCGUUCUGAAGCGCUAUCGUGAAUUAGUGACGAUGACCGUUAUUGAUAGUAAAUCUUGAUUUCUGAGGAUGAUUAAAGAUGAUGAUUGAAUAGAGACGAUGCGUGUACGAUUGAAGCGUGAAAAUGAAAAGGAAUCGGAUAUCUUAUGAUUGAAACGUUGAUGAAGAUGAUGAUAAUGAUGGAGACUUCGCUUGGAGGUUGUGUUAAAAGUCGAUGAAGAGCUUGAAUAUGCGGAUGAAGAUUUACUAAUGAUUAUUGAAGAGUGAAACCUUGUCACGAUUCAAUUAUGGAUUUUUCCUUGAUGCGAUAACUCUGUUACAGACAUGAAGAUUCGAUGAAGACUUAUCUAUUGAUUCAAAAGAGGGAUCGAGAUUCUUGGAUGAAGAGGUUGAAGAAGUUUUUAAAGAUGAUGCUGAUCGGUGUUGAACUAUGCAGAGUAAUUGAUGAUGAAUUGUGAAGGUUGAAGAUAUGAAGAUUAUGGAGUGUGGAAGGCUGAAAAAGUGAUGAAGAAGAUGAAGAAGUUAUGAAGGUGAUGAAAGAUCGAUGAUGGAGAUUGAAGGUGAUUCAUGAAGGUGAAGAUUGGAAUCUGUUAGCCAUUUAAGAGAGUUAUGGUUGAAUGGUUAUCAACACGGUUCAGAGGGAGAGGUAGAGUUUACGAUACGGAACCAGUUUUGACGUGGUUCGGUUUAUGAGUACCAGGCUAAACCGAACUUGAUUUAGUGCAGGUUCUGGAUGUUAGUGUGCAGCAGAUUGGUUGAAUUCAGAAUUGCAAGGCGGCACUGAUUUUGAUGUCACGUUUUUUUUCUUUGCGUAGGCUCUGUCUGGGUUUGGGUUGACAAUAUGCAGGUUUUGGAUGGUUAUGACUUUUUUGUUGUAAUUUUGAAAUUUGGCUUUUGUAAUGUAUAUUUGGACAUUUGAAUUUGGAUGAUGAAUUUUGUAAGAAAUUGCUUUGAAUGAAUGUUAUGAUUUGAAUUAUAGAA